GGAAGAAGGAGGCAGGUGCGAGAGAGGCAGGUAGGGAUGGAGGAAAGAGGAUGAUGGGGAAGGAAGGAUGGGGACAGGUAGAAAUGUGUCUGGAACGAAGGAAGGAAGGCAGGAAGUAAGGGAAGGAAGGAGGAAGAGGAGGAGAAGGUGGAAAGGGGAGAAAUGAUUGUGAUGAUAUGAGUGAGUGUUACUGUGUCUGAGAGAGAGAGAGAGAGAGAGAGAGAGAGAGAGAGAGAGAGAGAGAGAGAGAGAGAGAGAGAGAGUGUGUGAGAAAAAAAAACAAAAUGGUCUGAUAAGAAAAACGCAAAUAACAUCACAAAUUUCAUGUCAAGUGUAAGUCAGAUCUAUUUCUUCCUAUUUCAUUAUACUUUCACGUCUCACCACGCAGCACCUUCACAUUGCCAUUCACUAACAAUCCACAUUAAUCCAAGCAGAAUGUCUCUGGUGGUUAUCAUCAAGUAAUUUGUUCAUAUGGAGACAAUAAUGUAAUCAACAUCUUUGGAUCUUUGAUAGUCCUUUGUUGCCUCACUUAGAAUGUAGAUACCCACUGCGCGAAGUGGAGGAACAAGUUUCAGAAACUAGGGAAUGUAACACUUGUUUCCUGAAUGCUCUUGGCGCCUUUGUGGACGUCACGAGGACUGAUGACUCAUUACAAUGGAUCAACAGUCAGCGGCGUCUUUGAAAGGGUGUCGUUAGGUGUGUGUGAGUCAUGACAGUGUUCGUCUAUUAUUUUGUCCUUUGUGUUUAAGCUUCUUCUAGAUGAUUUAGGAAACAAAAUACACGGCUGAAUAUAAUAAACAUGUUAAACGAAACUGGAAAACAAAAUUUGAUUCAAAGUAUAGGAGACGCUUAGUUAGUACUUUUAUUUGUGCUUUAAUGAAGACGAGGUUUGGGAAUGCAAGGAAAGAUAAUCCUGCUUACUUGGUUCACUUAAAAUCGGUUAACGAUGAUAGAAAGACGAAAAUUAAGUCAUGACGAUGUAGAAAGUCUAAUAUUUUCGUUCCUAGUGCUUUAAUGAUAUUCUAUUAAACAGACGCAGUAACCCAUCAUAGAAAACGAUAACUGAAUGAUCUACAUUUGUGAAAGCGAUGCAGUUUGCUGUAUAGCAGCUGCGUUUACAUAAUUACUAAGAAAGAAUCCAAAAGAAGAAAAGAUUGAAAAUAGAAUACGUAUUAUGGAAAGAAGUCUUGAUUAUAUAUAGUUUCUCUGUAAGUACCAGUAACUAUCGGUGAGCAUCACACAAUAAUUCAACAAUAUAAAGUAAUUUUUGCAGCGAAUCAUCUUUGCUGUGAUUGUUACGAGCACGACGUCACAAGCAUUUUCUUAAGGAAUUCUUAUUUUGACACAUGACGCUGCACAAACACGCACGGUGAAGCUUCAUGAAUUGUGCUGAAUUUGCAAAUGAUCAUGAGAUGGCACCUGCCCACCCUUGGGUAUCCCCCUGUCAUUCUUCCCCUACCAGCUCCUCCCCAUCUCUACCAGUUCUCCUCCCCAUCCCUGUCCGAUCCAACUCCCCUCCUCCCCGUCAGUCUAUGGCCUAGAGAGACACUCAGGGAGUCAAUGUAAGUGAUCCUGUGAGAGAGAAGUGUGCGUUCGCGUGAGCUGCUCCUCGUCUCCUCUGCUUUGCCCCGUGUCCGUGGGGGUUCUCGCCUUCUGGCGACUCACUCGGCCACAAAAGUAAUGGGCCAACAGGUGUCACCAGAGGGACUGAGGAAGAAGCAGUUUUCUCCUCCACCUCCCCCGCCUCUCCGCCUCCCUCCUUGACUCUCACGCCCACGUCAAUUGCUGGUACCGUCUUGGUGUCUGAGGCGGCGGCGGCGGCGGUGGUGAUGGUGGUGGUGGUGGGCGUUAGCGUGUGUCGCCUCCACUGUGCUUACCUAUUGUGCCGCGCCUUCUUUAUGUGAGGGCCGCGCACCUGUACACACCUGUCCGUCAGUAGGUAUGCACGGACGGGCGGACCUCGCGUGACACAGGUGACUUAGUUAGGCGCUGACUCAUUAGCAUCGGCACGCCCACGCCCACCGUCGCCAACGCCGCACCAGAGGACGUGGCCAGUCAUCAGUACGGACGUGAGUAAGCUUGAGCUACUGCCGAAAUAACGUCACUGAAAUAAAACCGACGUACUUUUUAAUGCACGUCUGAAUGUUUCCAUGACGCAGCAGCGCGUGGCCGUCCUGCUGCGCGUGAAGGGAAGGAAGUACAAUGAAACAGUGAAGUAUAAGCGCACGUCCUUCAGUCUGUACUUCGUAUAGGAAGAAGGCAGGCGUGGAUGUGGCUUGUGUUGUAGUUGGGAACGGAAAGAGGACUUCAGAAAAAAAAGCUAAAAAAAAAAAAACUAAUAUUCGCAAAGAGACGGGGAACUAGAUGACACAUUACUGCUGUAAAUGUGAAUGACUGCACGUACAAUUAAGCUAAGGAAACUAAACCUAACGAAAAACUGUGGAAACAUUUACACCACCACAGCACUCCCUUCAUUUAAACUGUGGCAUCAGAAAACAAUACUGUAAUCCUUUAGGUGAACAUUUAAGCAGCAGAUGAAGAUACACGUGAAGAGCACAAGAAUAAAACAAAGUGCAUAAUAUUUAAAGUGUCACAGGCAGCUGAAUUGUACGCGCAUUACUUCAUCCUCGCCAGUAAACUCUAUUCAAAACCCCGCGGUAAAUUGAAGUAAAUAGACGGAAUAAAUAGAACCAGUUAGCAGGGAAAGAAAGUUAUCACGUUUGUAUUGGUCAGCAUA